rnacentral:rRNA from 1 species
GUGGGCUUAUUCCUGGGCAUCUCAACGAACCCAGACGCGAAAAGCGUCAAGGAACAUAUACUACAUUUGAGCUCCCUCCUGCAUCCCGGUUAGCCGGUGUGUGGGCGCGGUGCCAUGUCAUAACAUUAAACGACUCUCGGCAACGGAUAUCUCGGCUCUCGCAUCGAUGAAGAACGUAGCGAAAUGCGAUACUUGGUGUGAAUUGCAGAAUCCCGUGAACCAUCGAGUCUUUGAACGCAAGUUGCGCCCGAGGCCUUUGGUCGAGGGCACGUCUGCCUGGGCGUCACGCAUCGCAACCCCCCAAACCCACUCUGGGCGAUAUGGGGAGGAGGAUGGCUUCCCGUGCCUCACCGGGCGCGGUUGGCCUAAAAUUGGAGCCUAAGGCAUCGAGCUGCCGCGGCGAUAGGUGGUGAACAAGGCCUUGGCCGUGCAAACAACCAGCCGCGCAGCCCUUUGACAGUACGAGCUCGAAGGACCCUUUGAUGUUGCCUUGUUGCGACACAAACGUUGCGACCCCAGGU